AUUCAAGGAAUUAAGAGUUUAUGGGGAAUACCUUGGCAUUCAGAAGCGAUGAAGGACGUGGUUACCGACGAAACGCUUCGGGGAGCUGGAAACAAGCUAAGAUCCGGAGGU
rnacentral:rRNA from 1 species